UGAGCAAUGUGCCCUUGACUCUGGGAUAAGCGCUGGAAACGGCGUCUAAUACCGGAUACGACCAUCGGAGGCAUCUCCUGGUGGUGGAAAGAACUUCGGUCAAGGAUCAGCUCACGGCCUAUCAGCCAGUUGGUGAGGUAAUGGCUCACCAAGGCGACGACGGGUAGCCGGCCUGAGAGGGUGACCCGGCCACACUGGGACUGAGACACGGCCCAGACCUCCGUAGGGAGGCG
rnacentral:rRNA from 1 species